rnacentral:rRNA from 1 species
GAUGAACGCUGGCGGCGUGCCUAAUACAUGCAAGUCGAGCGAACAGACGAGGAGCUUGCUCCUCUGACGUUAGCGGCGGACGGGUGAGUAACACGUGGAUAACCUACCUAUAAGACUGGGAUAACUUCGGGAAACCGGAGCUAAUACCGGAUAAUAUAUUGAACCGCAUGGUUCAAUAGUGAAAGACGGUUUUGCUGUCACUUAUAGAUGGAUCCGCGCCGCAUUAGCUAGUUGGUAAGGUAACGGCUUACCAAGGCGACGAUGCGUAGCCGACCUGAGAGGGUGAUCGGCCACACUGGAACUGAGACACGGUCCAGACUCCGACGGGAGGCAGCAGUAGGGAAUCGUCCGCAAUGGGCGAAAGCCUGACGGAGCAACGCCGCGUGAGUGAUGAAGGUCUUCGGGUCGUAAAACUCUGUUAUUAGGGAAGAACAAAUGUGUAAGUAACUAUGCACGUCUUGACGGUACCUAAUCAGAAAGCCACGGCUAACUACGUG